AACGAACGCUGGCGGCGGGCCUAACACAUGCAAGUCGAACGCUGUAGCAAUACAGAGUGGCAGACGGGUGAGUAACGCGUGGGAACCUUCCCAAUGGUACGGAAUAGCCCAGGGAAACUUGGGGUAAUACCGUACACGCCCCUAGGAGGAAAGAUUUAUCGCCAUUGGAUGGGCCCGCGUCGGACUAGCUAGUUGGUGAGGUAAUGGCUCACCAAGGCAACGAUCCGUAGCUGGUUCGAGAGAAUGACCAGCCACACUGGGACUGAGACACGGCCCAGACUCCUACGGGAGGCAGCAGUGGGGAAUCUUGGACAAUGGGCGCAAGCCUGAUCCAGCCAUGCCGCGUGAGUGACGAAGGCCUUAGGGUUGUAAAGCUCUUUUGCCGGGGACGAUAAUGACGGUACCCGGAGAAUAAGUCCCGGCUAACUUCGUGCCAGCCGCCGCAGUAA
rnacentral:rRNA from 1 species